GACUGCGUACCUUUUGUAUAAUGGGUCAGCGACUUAUAUUCUGUAGCAAGGUUAACCGAAUAGGGGAGCCGAAGGGAAACCGAGUCUUAACCGGGCGUUAAGUUGCAGGGUAUAGACCCGAAACCCGGUGAUCUAGCCAUGGGCAGGUUGAAGGUUGGGUAACACUAACUGGAGGACCGAACCGACUAAUGUUGAAAAAUUAGCGGAUGACUUGUGGCUGGGGGUGAAAGGCCAAUCAAACCGGGAGAUAGCUGGUUCUCCCCGAAAGCUAUUUAGGUAGCGCCUCGUGAAUUCAUCUCCGGGGGUAGAGCACUGUUUCGGCAAGGGGGUCAUCCCGACUUACCAACCCGAUGCAAACUGCGAAUACCGGAGAAUGUUAUCACGGGAGACACACGGCGGGUGCUAACGUCCGUCGUGAAGAGGGAAACAACCCAGACCGCCAGCUAAGGUCCCAAAGUCAUGGUUAAGUGGGAAACGAUGUGGGAAGGCCCAGACAGCCAGGAUGUUGGCUUAGAAGCAGCCAUCAUUUAAAGAAAGCGUAAUAGCUCACUGGUCGAGUCGGCCUGCGCGGAAGAUGUAACGGGGCUAAACCAUGCACCGAAGCUGCGGCAGCGACACUGUGUGUUGUUGGGUAGGGGAGCGU
rnacentral:rRNA from 1 species